UCUCUGGUAGUAUAUCGGUUAGUACACGCGCCUGUCAUGAAUGUUGCGCGCGAAAGCUGGGUUCGACUCCCAGCCAGAGAG
rnacentral:tRNA from 1 species